rnacentral:rRNA from 1 species
GAAUUGACGGGGGCCCGCACAAGCGGUGGAGCAUGUGGUUUAAUUCGAUGCAACGCGAAGAACCUUACCUGGUCUUGACAUCCACGGAAGUUUUCAGAGAUGAGAAUGUGCCUUCGGGAACCGUGAGACAGGUGCUGCAUGGCUGUCGUCAGCUCGUGUUGUGAAAUGUUGGGUUAAGUCCCGCAACGAGCGCAACCCUUAUCCUUUGUUGCCAGCGGUCCGGCCGGGAACUCAAAGGAGACUGCCAGUGAUAAACUGGAGGAAGGUGGGGAUGACGUCAAGUCAUCAUGGCCCUUACGACCAGGGCUACACACGUGCUACAAUGGCGCAUACAAAGAGAAGCGACCUCGCGAGAGCAAGCGGACCUCAUAAAGUGCGUCGUAGUCCGGAUUGGAGUCUGCAACUCGACUCCAUGAAGUCGGAAUCGCUAGUAAUCGUGGAUCAGAAUGCCACGGUGAAUACGUUCCCGGGCCUUGUACACACCGCCCGUCACACCAUGGGAGUGGGUUGCAAAAGAAGUAGGUAGCUUAACCUUUGGGAGGGCGCUUACCACUUUGUGAUUCAUGACUGGGGUGAAGUCGUAACAAGGUAACCGUAGGGGAACCUGCGGUUGGAUCACCUCCUUACCUUAAAGAAGC